rnacentral:rRNA from 1 species
CCUACGGGUGGCAGCAGUGGGGGAUAUUGCACAAUGGGGGAAACCCUGAUGCAGCAACGCCGCGUGAAGGAAGAAGGUCUUCGGAUUGUAAACUUUUGUCUUGUGGGAAGAUAAUGACGGUACCACAGGAGGAAGCUCCGGCUAACUACGUGCCAGCAGCCGCGGUAAUACGUAGGGAGCGAGCGUUGUCCGGAUUUACUGGGUGUAAAGGGUGCGCAGGCGGAUUUUUAAGUCAGCGGUCAAAUCGUGGGGCUCAACCCCAUCCAGCCGUUGAAACUGGGGAUCUAGAGUGUGCGAGAGGUAUGCGGAAUGCGUGGUGUAGCGGUGAAAUGCAUAGAUAUCACGCAGAACCCCGAUUGCGAAGGCAGCAUACCGGUGCACAACUGACGCUCAGGCACGAAAGCGUGGGUAUCGAACAGGAUUAGAUACCCCAGUAGUC